UACGUAGGAGGCGAGCGUUGUCCGGAUUCAUUGGGCGUAAAGAGCGCGCAGGCGGCUUGGUAAGUCGGAUGUGAAAACCCGAGGCUCAACCUCGGGCGUGCAUCCGAUACUGCUCGGCUAGAGGUAGGUAGGGGAGAUCGGAAUUCCUGGUGUAGCGGUGAAAUGCGCAGAUAUCAGGAGGAACACCGGUGGCGAAGGCGGAUCUCUGGGCCUUACCUGACGCUCAGGCGCGAAAGCUAGGGGAGCGAACUGG
rnacentral:rRNA from 1 species